AGAGUUUGAUUAUGGCGUCAGGACGAACGCUGGCGGCGUGCUUAACACAUGCAAGUCGAGCGAUGAAGCUCCUUCGGAGUGGAUUAGCGGCGGACGGGUGAGUAACACGUGGGCAACCUGCCUUGUAGAGAGAAUAGCCAUUCGAAAGGAUGAUUAAUGCCUCAUAAUAUUGUAGCUUCGCAUGAAGCAACAACCAAAGGAGCAAUCCACUACAAGAGUGGGCCCGCGGCGCAGUUAGCUAGUUGGUGGGGUAACGGCUCACCGAAGGCGACGAUGCGUAGCCGACCUGAGAGGGUGAGUCGGCCACAGUUGGGACUGAGACACGGCCCAGACUCCUACGGGAGGCAGCAGUGGGGAAUAUUGCACAAUGGGGGAAACCCUGAUGCAAGCAACGCCGCGUGAGUGAUGACGGUCUUCGGAUUGUAAAGCUCUGUCUUCAGGGACGAUAAUGACGGUACCUGAGGAGGAAGCCACGGCUAACUACGUGCCAGCCGCCGC
rnacentral:rRNA from 1 species